CACGCAUACUUCACAACAAAAGCGGAGGCCGUGGUCUUCCUCCUUUCUGGACAGUGAGCUCGUGAGUCAGGCAGGAGGGCUGUUCAUGUCUGGAGUCACGUUGCAGUCACAGGUUAGCCACUUCCGCUCUCAUAGUGCUGAGGUCAUUUUUCCCAAGCCACAACGAUGUGUUUAGUAAGAAAACGUUCAAAUUUCAGCGAACUGACAGCACUAUGACUGAGCAUUGUAAUGUGCCUCUGUGAUCAAGCCUCCAGUAAGUACAAAAGUUUACUUGGCUUUGUUUCAUAUUUGUGGAUGUAGUUUGAAAUGUAUAGUUUGAAGCCCUUCUCCUUUUUUUGUUGUUAAUGUGUGAUGUAGUGUUAAGAUAAUUUGACUCGCGUCCUUGACCAUAAUCCUAGGUGCAUCUUGAAGAGACCGAAAAAGGCCAUUGUUCCCUAUGGACAUUAUGAGCACUGGAUGUUACAGAGCUGGCUGAGAUUUUAGUGGAAAUACCGUCCGUCAUCAGCCUGUGUACAUAUACCCUACUGAUGAUUUAUUCUAAUUAAUAUAUUUGUUUUUAGAAUGUGUGGACUAGUUGCUCAUGAGCGCUGUUGUGUGUAUCUGCAUUACUGUCUUUCGUAUAUGUUUUUUACAAGAUUGUAAACUUGUAAAGAAAAAAAUAAAGAAUUAUUAAAAAGUGAAAUAAAACUGCAUUAAAUUACACAGAAGCCCAUUUAGUCUUUUCAAAGCCCAUACAAAGGUUAAAACGUUUGGCAUUCCAUACAUGGAUGACAUACUAA